AGAGCAGCUGCAACAAUGACAAAUAUGAACUGAGAAGAAAAAAAAAGUGUUUUUGAACAUUCAAGAAUGAAAACUUAUUCAAGUAGAGACCAAAAACAAAAUCAAGACUUUGAAAAAGGGCAUAAUAUGGCCUCUUUAAUAAUCCAUUGUGCUUUAUAAUCUAUUGUAUAAUAUUAUCACCACAAAUGUUCUUUAUAAGCUGUUGAACAUUAUAAACAUGAUCAUUAAUCAAGAGCGUGGUAAUAUUUUAACACUCAUCCCCAGUCAAACUGGCAACCUUUUCAUCCCAAAUCCUCAUGUAAUGUAUAUGGCACUUUAAUUGUUAAUAAAGUCUUCAAGCCUUGACGUAAUUAGAUUUUUCAGGGGCCUUUAAUGUAGUGCUGUUUGCAGAGCUUCAUUUGAGUAAUUGCACAUGACCUCACUGUCCUCUUUCCAGUAAUCCUGUAUUGAGCCGCGGGAUCAGACGUCAGUGGGUAAUGUAGACAUCCUUGGCUCCGGAUUCACCCCUCCAUGAUGCUGCGGCUUAGACUUUCAGAUAAGACCUCAACAUUUCAUGCAGAUCACCUAAGAGGUGAUGGAGGAAGAGGAUUAGAUAUCCCAGCAGAGUCAUUCAUCAAAUCGAGAGUUCGGAUGCUGGGAAGGACGCUGCUGUGCGAUGAAAGAUGCUCCGGGUUUACCAGAACUAUUUGUAGUUUGAUUUGGAGUGGAGGGACUUUGUCGACGGCCCACUGAAUCUUCGCCAAUCGCUUCAACAGUCUCUCCUGAUGGACAACGGGCCAUUAAGAGCACAUUUGAUGAUUUGUAUUUGGCAUGCACGCACACAGCUCCAGCGACUCAAGUGCUUUUGAGAUAAUCAUAUGUUUUGCCAGUCCUCAAAGCCAAAGAUGCAUCCGAAGGAAUUUCACUUUGUAAAAAUGUUAUGUCCUUCAGAUCUGGUAUGCUUGAUUUAUUUCCAAUUUUUCCAGCAUUUUGUUGUCUAGAAGUCAUCCUGACAAUAACAGGGUGGCGUUUUGUUCGGGACCAGAAGGUUACUAGUUCAAAUGUUGCAAGAAAUUAUCCAAUAGUGCACUUGAGCAAGACAGGUAGUUUGCUAGAAGCCGCAUUAUCUAAAAAAUGUCUUCUAGAUGACUAAAUAGGCUACAUGAGCAUCAUUCACAUCAUGUACAUUGAGUUGUGCUGGAAAGAAUGCGCGAAAAUGUGUGUAUUUUGACACUCUUUUGCACUUUGUAUGAUGAUACUUAUGUUUUGUGUCCUAAAAUACUUGAAAUCUAAUUUGAAUAUUCAAACUGAAAAUUCACUUUCAUCAGAUUUCAAGUGAAACAUGGAUCUGGUUUGGAUAGAGUUUUGAAACAUGAUCAUUGUGUGUGUGUGUGUGUGUGUGUGUGAGAAAGAGAGAGUGAUUCAGAAUGUCAGAUAUGCAAAAAAGUGAGGUUUUAUAGUGCAAUUUUGGUUUUGUGCGUUUUAGAAAUUGGCAAAUACUUUUAUCCAAAGCUAUUUACAACAUGUUUUUGAAGUAUUUCAUCAGUUCAUGCAUUUCCUGGGAACUGAAUCAAUGAGCUUGACUUUGCAGACCAGUUGAGCUUCAGAAAGAAUUUCAGAAAAGCUAUAGUGUCAGAUUCGCUGUUCAUGAAAUACUGGAAAUGUUUAACAUCUUGCAUGUCAAAAAAAAAAAAAAAAAAAAAAAAAACAUAUAAUAUACAGCUCACUUGGACUGUGUUGCAGUUCAUUAAAAAGUGAUGAAAAGUGUGAAAACUGAUUUAAUGAGUUAUUAAUAAGGUGUUGUUACAGUAAGUAUGUGUAUUUUAACAGUAUGCAUUUAAUAAAGACACAUUAAUAACA